rnacentral:rRNA from 1 species
AUUGAACGCUGGCGGCAUGCCUUACACAUGCAAGUCGAACGGUAACGGGCCUUCGGGUGCCGACGAGUGGCGAACGGGUGAGUAAUGCAUCGGAACGUACCUUUCAGUGGGGGAUAACGUAGCGAAAGUUACGCUAAUACCGCAUAUUCUGUGAGCAGGAAAGCAGGGGAUCGCAAGACCUUGCGCUGAUUGAGCGGCCGAUGUCAGAUUAGCUAGUUGGUGAGGUAAAGGCUCACCAAGGCGACGAUCUGUAGCGGGUCUGAGAGGAUGAUCCGCCACACUGGGACUGAGACACGGCCCAGACUCCUGCGGGAGGCAGCAGUGGGGAAUUUUGGACAAUGGGGGCAACCCUGAUCCAGCCAUGCCGCGUGAGUGAAGAAGGCCUUCGGGUUGUAAAGCUCUUUCGGCCGGGAAGAAAUCGCACAGGCUAAUACCUUGUGUGGAUGACGGUACCGGAAUAAGAAGCACCGGCUAACUUCGUGCCAGCCGCCGCCGUAAUAC